rnacentral:rRNA from 1 species
CACGUAGGGGGCAAGCGUUGUCCGGAUUUAUUGGGCGUAAAGAGCUCGUAGGCGGCUCAGUAAGUCGGGUGUGAAACCUCCAGGCUCAACCUGGAGACGCCACCCGAUACUGCUGUGGCUUGAGUCCGGUAGGGGAGCGUGGAAUUCCUGGUGUAGCGGUGAAAUGCGCAGAUAUCAGGAAGAACACCGAUGGCGAAGGCAGCUCUCUGGGACGGUACUGACGCUGAGACGCGAAAGCGUGGGGAGCGAACAGG